AUUGAACGCUGGCGGCAUGCUUUACACAUGCAAGUCGAACGGCAGCGCGGGCUUCGGCCUGGCGGCGAGUGGCGAACGGGUGAGUAAUGCAUCGGAACGUGCCCAGUAGUGGGGGAUAGCCCGGCGAAAGCCGGAUUAAUACCGCAUACGACCUGAGGGUGAAAGCGGGGGAGCGAAAGGCCUCGCGCUAUUGGAGCGGCCGAUGUCGGAUUAGCUAGUUGGUGGGGUAAAGGCUUACCAAGGCGACGAUCCGUAGCUGGUCUGAGAGGACGACCAGCCACACUGGGACUGAGACACGGCCCAGACUCCUACGGGAGGCAGCAGUGGGGAAUUUUGGACAAUGGGGGCAACCCUGAUCCAGCCAUGCCGCGUGCGGGAAGAAGGCCUUCGGGUUGUAAAGCGCUUUUGUUCGGGAAGAAAUCCUCUGGGCUAAUACCCCGGGGGGAUGACGGUACCGGAAGAAUAAGCACCGGCUAACUACGUG
rnacentral:rRNA from 1 species